rnacentral:rRNA from 1 species
CACGUAGGGUGCGAGCGUUGUCCGGAAUUAUUGGCGUAAAGAGCUCGUAGGCGGUGUGUCGCGUCGGCCGUGAAAACCUGCAGCUUAACUGUGGGCGUGCGGUCGAUACGGGCAUCACUGGAGUUCGGCAGGGGAGACUGGAAUUCCUGGUGUAGCGGUGAAAUGCGCAGAUAUCAGGAGGAACACCGGUGGCGAAGGCGGGUCUCUGGGGCCGAAACUGACGCUGGAGGAGCGAAAGCGUGGGGAGCAAACAGG